AUCGAACGCUGGCGGCAGGCCUAACACAUGCAAGUCGAACGAGUGGCGGACGGGUGAGUAAUGUAUGGGAAACUGCCUGAUGGAGGGGGAUAACUACUGUAAACGGUAGCUAAUACCGCAUACCAUCAGAUGUGCCCAGAUGGGAUUAGCUUGUUGGUGGGGUAACGGCGCACCAAGGCGACGCUCCCUAGCUGGUCUGAGAGGAUGACCGGCCACACUGGAACUGAGACACGGUCCAGACUCCUACGGGAGGCAGCAGUGGGGAAUAUUUGACAAUGGGCGAAAGCCUGAUGCAGCCAGGCCGCGUGUAUGAAGAAGGCCUUCGGGUUGUAAAGUUCUUUCAGCGGGGAGGCGUUACCCGCAGAGGAAGCACCGGCUAACUCCGUGCCAGCAGCCGCGGUAAUAC
rnacentral:rRNA from 1 species